GUGCUCGCCUCAGCAGCACAUAUACUAAAAUUGGAAUGACACUAGCAUGGCCCCUGUGCAAUCACUCAGUAUGUGAAGAAUAUGUUGACACUUGC
ensembl:snRNA U6 U6 spliceosomal RNA